AAAUUGAAGAGUUUGAUCAUGGCUCAGAUUGAACGCUGGCGGCAGGCCUAACACAUGCAAGUCGAACGGUAACAGGAAGCAGCUUGCUGCUUCGCUGACGAGUGGCGGACGGGUGAGUAAUGUCUGGGAAACUGCCUGAUGGAGGGGGAUAACUACUGGAAACGGUAGCUAAUACCGCAUAACGUCGCAAGACCAA
rnacentral:rRNA from 1 species